rnacentral:rRNA from 1 species
AUGAUUAUCAUGUGCAGCAGCGACCACAAGUGCAGAAGCCUAAGCCAAGACUGCCAAGACUUUCAGAUUAGCCGCGUCGAAAGGUUGGCCCUUUCCCCUCCGCCGCAAAAUAGCCGCCGCGCAGUCUCUGCCAAUACCCAAUCUACGGAGGCGGUGGAGAUGCAAAUCCUCUCGCGCUCGAUUACUCGAAGCGUCAGCAGCGUUGCCUCUGCUCUGCCUCGAUGGUGGUUUCCAGCACUUGCGCGAGGAGAUGCUCCACUCAAGGCUUUAGUACCGGCCUAUCCAAAUCAACAUCUUUUCCGUGAGAAGAUUGCACUGAAUUGGCUGCGCCAAUUCUCCAUACAUGGCGUGAAUGAGACGAAGACUAAUAAUGCAGCAGAGGACAGUGACCCGACGUUAAAGACUAGUUUAAGUGAAGAUAUAUGUUACAUGCCGAUAAUUUCAGGGAGCAGCCACCGUGAUGGUGCUAUAUACAAGAGAGCGGCUUAUUGGGAACAUAAUUACUUUUUUGAUAUCGCUGACCGUACAGAAACUCGGUUGGAGCCAGCUCGUGCAUACGAUAUACCACGUAACAUGAUGCAGAUCUUUUCAAUGAAGUUAGCUAAAGCUCCUAUCAAUAGUGGCUCAAUACAGUUAUAUGGAUAUAUAGCAGCACGUGAUGAAGUUGAUCUAAAACUAAAUUAUGUUUUCAAUCGUACCAGGGAUGAUCCCAUCAUCGUGCAGCAGAGGAAUGAGGAAUGGAUACAUGAGGCAUGGCGUAAGCGUAGGUGUCAGCCAGGGCACGAUGCAAGAGUCUGCCCAUCUCCUCUCAAACCGCUGGAACUGAGGGAUAUUGACACGGACUUUGUCUGCUUGCUUCAAAACUAA